AUUUUCAUUGUGUUCAUUUCUUGUCACCAGAUACAGGCACUUUACGCUGAGGUUUGCUAUGUCUUAUACUCCCUCUGUCACUUUAUUUUUUUUUUCUGUCAUGGGAACAAAGAAGAUUUUACAAGUGAAUUUCCUUUGCCAUAUUGAUGGACCACAGGCUCAGGUAUGUCCAGCACUGCCGGGUUGGAUACAAGGGUAACGGAUGUUCUGUGUGCCAUGGGAGCCCCUCUGACAUUGGUUUACACAGGAAAGUUCAACCACUGUGAAGAUAUCAGAGGUUCAGA
rnacentral:lncRNA from 1 species